rnacentral:rRNA from 1 species
GACGAACGCUGGCGGCGCGCUUAACACAUGCAAGUCGAGCGAGAACCAGGGCUUCGGCCCUGGGGACAGCGGCGAACGGGUGAGUAACACGUGGAUAACCUGCCCUCGGCACCGGGAUAGCCCGGGGAAACUCGGAUUAAUACCGGAUAGCCUUUCCGGCUUUCGAGCCGGUCCGAAAAGGUAGCUUCGGCCUCUGGCCGAGGAUGGGUCCGCGGCGGAUUAGCUUGUUGGUGGGGUAAUGGCCUACCAAGGCUCGAUCCGUAGCUGGUCUGAGAGGACGAUCAGCCACACUGGGACUGAGACACGGCCCAGACUCCUACGGGAGGCAGCAGUGGGGAAUAUUGGACAAUGGGCGAAAGCCUGAUCCAGCGAUGCCGCGUGUGUGAAGAAGGCCUGCGGGUUGUAAAGCACUUUCAGUAGGGAAGAAAAGCCGAGUGCCAAUACCACUCGGUCUUGACGUUACCUAAAGAAGAAGCACC